AAUGAACGUUGGCGGCGUGGAUUAGGCAUGCAAGUCGAGCGAGAACCCGCAAGGGGGACAGCGGCAAACGGGGUAGUAACGGGUAGGUGACGUACCCUCGGGUCGGGGAUAGCCACGGGAAACUGUGGGUAAUACCCGAUAAUCUCCUGGAACGUGAUGGUUUCGGGAGCAAAGGUGUGAUUCCACCGGAGGAGCGACCUGCCUCGUAUUAGCUAGUUGGUGAGGUAACGGCUCACCAAGGCGACGANGGCGGUAGGGGGUGUGAGAGCAUCGACCCCCCACCAC
rnacentral:rRNA from 1 species